rnacentral:rRNA from 1 species
CCCUUGGCCUUUGACAUACUAAGAACUUUUCCAGAGAUUGGAUUGGUGCCUUCGGGAACUUAGAUACAGGUGCUGCAUUGGCUGUCGUCAGCUCGUGUCGUGAGAUUGUUGGGUUUAAGUCCGCAACGAGCGCAACCCUUUUUCCUUAUUUUGCCAGCGGGUAAUGCCGGGAACUUUAAGGAUACUGCCAGUGACAAACUGGAGGAAGGCGGGGACGACGUCAAGUCAUCAUGGCCCUUACGGCCAGGGCUACACACGUGCUACAAUGGUCGGUACAAAGGGUUGCUACCUCGCGAGAGGAUGCUAAUCUCAAAAAGCCGAUCGUAGUCCGGAUCGCAGUCUGCAACUCGACUGCGUGAAGUCGGAAUCGCUAGUAAUCGCGGAUCAGAAUGCCGCGGUGAAUACGUUCCCGGGCCUUGUACACACCGCCCGUCACACCAUGGGAGUUUGUUGCACCAGAAGUAGGUAGUCUAACCGCAAGGAGGACGCUUACCACGGUGUGGCCGAUGACUGGGGUGAAGUCGUAACAAGGUAGGCGUAGAUGA